GGAGCUGGAGCUCAGUGGUAGAGCGCUUGCCUAGCAUGUGUGAGGCCCUGGGUUCGAUCCUCAGCACCA
rnacentral:tRNA from 1 species